AUUACCUAGAGAUGUGUGAUGUUCCUAAUAUCAUGGUUUCUUCACAAUGAAACUCCAUGGCAGUAGUUCAACAUCUUCUUGGCUUGCUGGUUGGGUUUCCAAGAAAGCAGAUUCUGAGAUGGAGAUUGGCAUGAAGGGAAUUUUGGGGGGAAAUUGUUCUUCAGAAUCAACACUUUUGGGGAAAGGGAAGAAAGCAGAAUUGGGCAGAGGAAGACAUUGGUCUGUGAUGCCUCCUAAACAAGGACUCAGUGAGCCUGAAGCUCUGGAGCUGGGAUGGCCUUUCAGAUUGGAGAUGAGAGGAUCAGACCUUCAGACUCUCACAUUGACCAAUCAUUGGAUGCAGGCAGCAAGACCUUGGAAAAGAUGACUCUUUUCAGCUAAGGACAAUUCCUAGAGAGGGUUGUCAGCUGGCAACACUCCCAGCAGCCAGGAGACUAAGUUCUUCAAUCCUGAAGGGAGAUCUGGAUUGGAGAGGCAUAGGAAAU
rnacentral:lncRNA from 1 species